rnacentral:rRNA from 1 species
UACGGAGGGGGCUAGCGUUGUUCGGAAUUACUGGGCGUAAAGCGCACGUAGGCGGCCGAUCAAGUCAGAGGUGAAAGCCCGGGGCUCAACCCCGGAAUUGCCUUUGAGACUGAACGGCUAGUAGGUGAGAGAGGUAAGUGGAAUUCCGAGUGUAGAGGUGAAAUUCGUAGAUAUUCGGAAGAACACCAGUGGCGAAGGCGGCUUACUGGCUCAUUCUAGACGCUGAGGUGCGAAAGCGUGGGGAGCAAACAGG